rnacentral:lncRNA from 2 species
GACAAGCAGAGUUGGAAACAAAGUGCUGAAUGCCCUCCCCAGCCUGCUGCUCACUAUCCUCUCCCUCUGUGCCCUGCAGACUGAGCUGCUGAGAUCUUCCCAUGGAAACAUCUGCAUUUUCCCUAAAUAUUUCUGGCCUCCUCAUCUGAGUUACAAAAUAAAAAAAAACCUUCCCCACUGAGCCCACCUGACCUCUUAUUUAUUUUUGCCAGCAGCACCCAACAGGUCAGAGUUAGCAACAUGUGGCUCAGCCCUGCCCUGCCUGAGGAAAGCCUGGUUCAGGAGUUGUGGGAGCUCACCUGGUCUACACUCACAGGGUGUCCCUGGAAGGACCUCUGUUGACCUUUCCUGUACAGAGAGGCCCACUCUAACCUUACAGAUGCCAUUUGAGGAUAUCCACCUUCUGUGGGUUGUUGUACAUAUAUGGCUGAAAAUUAUACAAAAAGGAAAAUGAGAUGUGUCAAUGGCAAAAUAUGGAUUUUCACACUUGAGUAUUGCCUAUCUUCAAAUAUGGUCUUAAACCAAAGCCCAG